UUACCGUUAAUGACUCUUGCCGUGUGCAUGAGUUGAAUACUUGAAUUUAUUGUGCUAGACACAACAGAUUGGCAGUAUUUUACCUUUACUGUUCAUCGUGAGCAAAUGCCCCAGGCACCGGCUUUUCAUGGACAAUGUAAAGAAAAUAGAAUAGCUGCCUCCA
rnacentral:misc_RNA from 1 species